UCCUAGACUAUUUCAAGGCCCCCGCAACGUUCCCUUUCCACAACACGACGUCAUCACUGUGAGAUCGGUCCAAAUCCGAGAACAACGGGCUUGGCUUGGAACGACUUACGGCUUUUGUAUAAUGUGUGGCCCGGCGCAAAUAGUUAGAAAACGUUUCAAAAAGCUAUUCUUAUAAAACGUGAAUAAUUGAACUAGUAACAACAAAAAAUUCUUUUCGACGCUUUUAAGUACGAAAUAUUUUACAUGCCUACAUUUUUGCUACGUAAGAAACUUAAUUCCGUUGACGUGUGGAGCGCAGUAUCGUGGAAGGCACGAAUUUUGGUGGCGCGUACUGCCACAUCUGGCAACCAUAAACAGUAGUAACGGCGCAUUUGUUUCUGGCCGCUGGCGUUGAUGUGCUGCUUUCUGUUUUGUUCUUGUUUGUUCUCGGGUUACGCGACAUGCCUGGCUGCUGUUGUGCGCCGAACUGUAACUCAAACUAUGUGAGUGGGCCGAAAGUGCGGGUUUACCGCUUUCCUUCUGAUGCGGAACGAAGAACGGCUUGGACAAAAGCAAUACCUCGCGAAGACUUCGCGCCAACGAAGUACAGCGUGGUCUGUGAAAAGCACGUUUCUCCGGGUGACUUCGCCACUACUACAACGUACACGGACGAAAAAACUGGACGAGUGCUUGAAGUUCCUCUUCAAUUACGGCGGCUGAAGCCAUGCGCUACUCCUAGCAUCUUCCCCAACUGCCCUGCAUACCUGUCCCGCAACACACCUGCUGCCCGCGAAGGUCCUGAAGAAAAGCGCGCUCGGCUUGAAGCGGAGGCCCUGCAGCAAGCACUGGCGCGCUCCACCGAAGCUUAUGAAGACGAACAGAGAAAUAAUUCCGUUAGCAGCUUUGACGAACUCGUGGCUGCUCUCAAGGAAUUCCAGGUGGCCGAUUUCUGGACAAAGCUGGUCACUGACAAGCAAGUGCUUUUUUUGAACUUUGCUCCUCGAGAUGCACCAGUUGUGCGCUAUUCAGUGACGGUCUCUGCAGAUCUUUCAUUGAAAGCGUUUUUUGGGGACCUGCAGCUCGACAAGGUUGGUCUUCUCAUUUUUCCAAUGUGUGUGUCCGACAUUAGGGAGCUAGAGAAAGCUUUAGAGGUUGUGCAUGGUUUUGCCAAGAACUCCUCUAACGAUCAGCAGCGACUAGAAAUUGUCUUAAAGAAGACAGUGGCAAUCCUAGAGGAGCUGUCAUCAGAAAAUUUCCCUCAUGAGUGGCAAAUGGAAAUUGUGAACUUCUUAAUGCAGCAGGUACACAUGCUUCUAAGCAAGUCUCCGAAUUACCCUGCAGACCUGCUUGUGUUUUCAAGCCUCGUGUUUAGAAUAUCCCCACACGCUUAUAGGUUCAUCCGGAGCACGUCAAAGCUCAAACUGCCCCAUCCUGACACUAUUAGGCGUGUUUGUGCGUCUUACGUUGUCAACCCUUGUACAGAGCAACAAAGUACCUUAUUUCUCUCAUAUGCAAAAAGACUUGUAGCUGCAAUGAACGAGCAUGAGAAGACUGUAACGCUCGUCAUGGACGAGAUUCACCUUCAGCCAUACCUCGACUAUAAGGGUGGAACCGUAGUGGGAAUGGCCGCAAACAGUACAAUUGCUGCAAAGACAGCAUAUGUGUUCAUGAUCCAAAGCCUUUUGUCAGCGAGCAAAGAUGUUGUGCAUAUUCUGCCAGUAGCACAGAUAGAUGCAAAACAGUUGCAUGAAUUUCUUCGUCAGCUGAUAAAUGAGCUCGAGAAAACUGGACUUCGAAUUAUUGCAGUAGUUUCAGACAAUAACUCCAUCAAUGGCAAAGCUAUGUCAUUUUUUUCCCAACCUCCGAAGGUUAACACUGUGUACCAACAUCCUUCGGACCAAUCAAGGUCCCUGUUUUUUAUUUUGGAUACUGUUCACGUGCUCAAGUGUGUACGGAAUAACUGGCUCAACCAGCGAAACAGCAGCAAGUGCAUGUUUUUUCCCGAUAUUAAUGCUGCUGGUGAUCAACCACAUGUGCUGACAGCUUCGUUUAAUGCCUUGGUAGAGCUUCAUGAGAGAGAGAGAAAUGAGCUAGUGCGACUUGCGCCAACUUUAUGCUUGAAAGCACUCAAACCUUCGAGUUUGGAGCGACAGAAUGUCAAGCUUGUCCUGAAGAUCUUUAACAUUCUUACUGUUGCAGCACUUAGAAGCACCAAGGCUGCAACACUGCAGCAUGCCAAAGGCACAGCUGAAUUUAUUAACAUUAUCGUUAUGUGGUGGUGCAUAGUAAAUGUGAAAACGCCAAACAAGGGUCGGCGUCUUCGGGACAAGCUUCAGGAACCCAUAACGGUAAUGUCUUGCCCCCAAAUUGAUUUCCUGAACAAAGUAGUCAAGUGGCUAGACUACUGGAAAAGCCUGAAGCAUGAUGCAGGCCACCUCACGAAUGAGACACACAAUGCACUUCGUCACACAUCGCUUGCUUUAGUUCAGGUGUCGCGUUACUGCAUUGAAGAACUCGGCUUCAAGUAUGUCCUUCUUGGUAAAUUUCAGUCUGACUGCCUUGAAGAUAGGUUUGGACGGUACCGACAAUUGAGCGGCGCACAGUACCACAUCUCGAUCCGCCAGAUAUACGAGUCGGAACACAAACUCAGAUUGCAGAAGGUUCUUGAGCUUCCCGAGUUCGACGACAUCUCGCUAUGUGCCCGCACUGAUGCGGUGAAUGCUGCCGUGAACCAGUUUGAUGUUGAAGUGACAGCAGUUGACGUAGAAAAAAAAAGAACACAUGCUCCCAGCUAUUACAUACGUGCCUGGGUACUGUGCGCAUGCUGCGCUGAAAAAGCUGAUGUGCCCAUUCUGUAAAGAGAACCUUGUGGUUGACAACCGUUCUCUUGAAAUUGAGGCAGAAGAGCUCAUUGCUGGUGUAACAAGAGGUGAACUAAAGUUCCCGCAGGCCGUGGUGGUAAAUGCCGUGCUGGCAAUGAAUAUUGUGCUGGAAAAACUGAGCAGCGAAAGGUACGCGUUAAAAUUUUAUUCUUGUGAAAAGCAAAAAGAUUUGCUUGUGUCCCUGACAACACCCCUUGUUGAGUAUAACGAAGAUCUGGACGUCUGUGAAAACGGCCAUUUACCUCACGUGGUGAUGGGUUAUGUACUAAGUGCGGCUGCCAACACUUUGUUGAAUAACUUGUGCAAACGAGAAAACAACAUGCUUGCUGAAGCCAAAGCUGCAAAACGGAAACUGAAGACGCUUCAGGCAUAAGCGCAUAACGUCUGCUAUCAUUUCGACUGCUGCCUGGAAAUUAUUGUCACAUAAGUGUUUUUUUCGUGUGUGUGUGCUCCGACUUAUUUCUGUUUCUUGUUCUUCAAUUUGUGCAAACAAUGUUUUUGGGGACAUUGCUGUAUGUUGUUUAGAACUUCGAGGAUUUCCUUAUUGCUUUGUUCUGUUGGAAAUGUUGAUGUAAUAAUAUUUUUGUUUGAAACUUCGGUUAUGAAUGUGCUAUCAGUUCAUUUGUGGAAGCUAUUCCCGAGAAAUUGUAUUUUUUCCACAAACCCAAGUUCUUCCUGCUUAUUCCUGCAAAAUAAAGAGUGAAAUUCUGUACCCCCGAAAAA